rnacentral:rRNA from 1 species
CUACAGCAAAUCACCCUGAACGCACCUGAUCUUGUCUGAUCUUGGAAGCUAAUCAGGGUCAGGCCUGGUUAGUACUUGGAUGGGAGAUAUUAAAACUUAAGGCUAUAGUAGU